ACNNNGNNGNNGCCUACACAUGCAAGUCGAGCGGAUGAAGGGAGCUUGCUCCUGGAUUCAGCGGCGGACGGGUGAGUAAUGCCUAGGAAUCUGCCUGGUAGUGGGGGAUAACGUCCGGAAACGGGCGCUAAUACCGCAUACGUCCUGAGGGAGAAAGUGGGGGAUCUUCGGACCUCACGCUAUCAGAUGAGCCUAGGUCGGAUUAGCUAGUUGGUGGGGUAAAGGCCUACCAAGGCGACGAUCCGUAACUGGUCUGAGAGGAUGAUCAGUCACACUGGAACUGAGACACGGUCCAGACUCCUACGGGAGGCAGCAGUGGGGAAUAUUGGACAAUGGGCGAAAGCCUGAUCCAGCCAUGCCGCGUGUGUGAAGAAGGUCUUCGGAUUGUAAAGCACUUUAAGUUGGGAGGAAGGGCAGUAAGUUAAUACCUUGCUGUUUUGACGUUACCAACACAAUAAGCACCGGCUAACUUCGUGCCAGCACCCGCGGUAAUACGAAGGGUGCAAGCGUUAAGCUGAAUUACUGGGCGUAAAGCGCGCGUAUGUGGUUCAGCGAGUGGGAUGUGAAAUCGCCUGGCUCACCCUGGGAACUGCAUCCAAAACUAAUGAGCUACAGUACGGUACAGGGGGGUGGAUUUUCCCGUGUAACGAUCAAAUGCGAACAUAUAUGAAGGAACACCAGUGUGGACGGCGACCCCCUACAUUGACACUGACGAUGAAGUGCGAAUGCGUGCCCAUCACGGAGAUUAUACACCAUUAUAGCCACAUCCCAACGAUGUCUCUAUGCCCUGCGGAUCAUUGAGAGCGCAGGGCGCUUCUACGCUCUAAGUCCACGUGCUGGGGAGGACAGCCGCUUGUUCUAAUCCAAGGAAAUAAACGGG
rnacentral:rRNA from 1 species